rnacentral:rRNA from 1 species
CUGGCUCAGGACGAACGCUGGCGGCGUGCUUAACACAUGCAAGUCGAACGGAGAUCAGCAAUGGAUCUUAGUGGCGAACGGGUGAGUAACGCGUAGGCAAUCUGCCUUCUAGAUGGGGACAACAUCCCGAAAGGGGUGCUAAUACCGAAUGUUGUAACGACUUCGCAUGAAGUUGCUACUAAAGGUGGCCUCUGAAUAUGCUACCGCUAGAAGAUGAGCCUGCGUCUGAUUAGCUAGUUGGAGGGUAACGGCCCACCAAGGCUUCGAUCAGUAGCCGGUCUGAGAGGAUGAACGGCCACACUGGGACUGAGACACGGCCCAGACUCCUACGGGAGGCAGCAGUGGGGAAUCUUCCGCAAUGGACGAAAGUCUGACGGAGCAACGCCGCGUGAGUGAAGAAGGUUUUCGGAUCGUAAAGCUCUUUCGUUAGGGACGAACGUGCUCUUUGUGAAUAAUGAGGAGUAAUGACGGUACCUAAAUAAGAAGCCACGGCUAACUACGUGCCAGCCGCCGC